ACCCCACUUUUGCCCGUCACUCUCCACUGGGCAAAGCAAAAACUCUGAAGAGAGUCGAGUCAGCUGACUCACCGAUUUUGACACGGGACAGUUUCACCCUUUCCAAGGGCCUCACUGUGGGCAGGUAUCUAGGGUGUAAAAUGAACCUCAGGCAGGUCUCUCCCAGAGGGAACUAGGAAAAGACGGCUGAUGGUGGGGGGGGGGCGGGCUGAGACGAGCGAGAUCUGGGGCAGAUAAGCAGCAGGGAUGAGCUGAGGACCGCCUUGUGGGCCGGCAGCCCGCAGGGCGAGAUCCAGGCAGAGAUGUAGGUUUGGCUCUUACAAUAUUUUUAUAAUCAGUCAUAACAUUUAAAAGUCAGAAGGUUUCUUAUAAAGCUCUGGGUUCCUGCUGCCUGUCCUUGGACAAUCAGAAGGACUGACACCAGGCCCGCGUUCCAUCAGGGGCUCCUGAGUGGAGCAGAGCCAGGACCACCCCCUCUGAGCACCCCACUUUUGCCCGUCACUCUCCACUGAGCACAGCUGCUCCUGCCCAGCCCGCCCCCUGGCCCUUAGCUCAGGAGAAGGUCAAGAAAAUGAGGGAAGCCAACCUGGGCAGAGUGUGAAGGAGCACGGAAAUGGGCAGUCUGGAGCCUCCAGAAAUCACCUCUGGGGCCAAGUCUUCAGGACGGACCAAGUUCACAGAGGAUUAAAUAGCAAUGGCACUAGGAAGCCUGCUGGGGAGGUUCCUUUCUCGUCCAGAAGGGCCAGACGGAGGUCAUCCUGACAGAAGCACCUCAGGGUGCUGGGAUCCCCACCAACACAGCAGGCAGAGGCCGGCCUGCCUCCUGGCCGCGCCGCCCCGUGUCUGGAAGGGUCAUCUGAGAGGGCCUCCGGGGCCCCCCGCGACUGUGUCAGAUUUCUGGAAAUGUAAUAAUUUUCCUCUUUCGUAUUUAAAUAUCCCACGAACUUAUUUGGCGGGCAGCAGGGAAGAGGGCAGGCCGGGGGGACCGAGGGCUGCGGCACGGCCAGCUUGUGUCGGGGGGAAGCCAAGAAGGAGGGGGGCGUGAGCUGAAAUGUGGGAGCCUGAAAACAGGAAGAAAGGGCCCGGGCCCGAGAAGCGAUGCUGACCCCACCAAGGCCUCGGUCACCUCUGCUGCUUCGCUGGGUGACACUUGAUCAUCUCAGCCACGGGUCAACCCCUUCGGUCCCCCCGGACCACGGCGUCCAGCCGAACCUUGGUGGUCAUCAACUCAAGGAGGAGAAGAGUUUCACGAGAAAGGAACUGUGACUACAAUCUGAGACCCAGAACCUGAAUCGAUCAAAACACUGGUUCCCUCAGUCCUCGAGGAAUUUGCGUUCAACGCGUCACAAGAGGCUUCACGGCGAAGAAGCCUCCACUGCUCCACUCCCCACGUCACCCCAGCACGGUCUGCCCUCAUCACCCCUCCUUGGCGGUCUCAAAACACCAGAGUGCCCUUGCCAAGCUGCUUCCUCCUAAAUGAUUUUCUGUCCUCCCCUCCAAGACUUCCCCCUUCGGACCCCUAUCCCCCGUGGGGACCAGCAAGUGAAGCCUUCCUGUGCUCCCCCUUGUCUGGGGUAAAAGAGGUGGGUGGCUAGGGGCUGUGACUUGGUUUCCUGAGUCCCAGAAUCAUACCAAAGCUUGGGGAGCACAUGCCACAAAUGUUCCACCAACACACACACACACACACACACACACACACACACACACACACACACACAGAGACACCACUCCAAUCAAGAGACAGCCCUCCUUACCUUGGGUUCUCCCACCGAAGCUCCAGGCCAGCUCUUCGAGCCCGUCCUCUUUCUUCACGCACUUCCCUGCUCCUUUAAGAAACACUUUUUUUCUAAAUUGGAGCUGGUCCUGUUAGGCCUUCACGCCUACGCAGCAUCCGCCCCAUCCUGGGUGCCGGGUGUGGCUGGGACCAGACGAAGGCCCCCAGCAUCUUCAGGUGUGUCAAACCAGUUCCACCUUGCCCCGAAAUAAAAGCUGGCUGAGGAAAGUUGCGAGAUAAAAAAGAGAGAGGCCUGAGAGGGAGCCACACUCACAGCCCCAAAGCGCCACUGAAAGGCACACACUCACUCACCUGGCCGCUUCCUCGAGAGUCAGCCGGCAGCCUGCGGACUCCCAUCCCUGUGCUCGCUAUGAUAAGAACGGGCUUCCAAGUGGCAGCGAGACUGGGCCACCGCAGAGCCCUCCCUGGUGGCCCCCGCGUCCUGCCCGGACUCAGCCCCACCUCAGCCUUCGGAUCCUCCGUGGACUCCCUGGUCUCAAUAUUCUGCCUGAAGAAGACAGAUUUCAAGGAUUAUGCCCUUCCCAACCCCAGCUGGUGUCCAGACAUGCUGAGCCUGUACCAGGAAUUCCUGGAGAAGACCAAGACCAAUGAGUGGGUCAAAAUACCCUCCUUCAAGUCCAACAAAGACCACAUCCAAGGGUUCAAGCUGCCAUCCGAGUUAGCAGUGACCUCCGGUAAGGCCUGGCCUGAGAGGGCACCAGGACCAGGUCCCAGCCGCCCAGCCCAGCCCCCUUCCCUGUGCUCAGAGGCACUUGGGAGGGAAGGUCACGAGCCCCCACCCGGGUUUCAGCCAGGGCUUCAUUCUGGUGUCUACCUCCACCCUCCAUGCCGCAGCCCCAGGCAGGUAGACGGAGGGUCCUGUCCGCUCUCCAGCACCCCCGCCCUCCAUCUGAAGAGAGCGCACCCUAGAGGCACCACCCAGGAACUGCCAGCUCUGCUCUCUGCCAUCCUGCCUCAUCCCAAGCCCCCCUCCCCCACCCCAAAAGGCCUCGGGGCCCGUCCCCCACCGCAGGCUCGGGCAUGCCAUCGCGGCUCCGCCUGGGUCCACGACGCCAGCGCUGAGACUGACAGAGCCUUCCGCCUCCAGACUUCACGUGCGCGUGCGCGUGCGCGUCAGCGUGCGCGUCAGCGUGCGUCCACGUGCUCUUGUCGCGCUCAUCCGUGCAGGUGGCCUUCCUGCCCCGGGACGAAUGGGUGGUGCAGCAGGCAGACCACCCCUGGGGUUUAUGGCACAAAGCAGGGGCGCCAGAGUGAUGUUUUAAAGGAAUUUGUAGCCAUCCAUGAAGGACAUAGUUGCUGUGGUUGUCUUGGUGGGGCGGGGGUGGGUCAGAAGUUUGACUUAUUUCACUGUGUGAAUGACGUGAGUUACAUUUUUAAUUUCCAGUGUUCGAGGUCUGUGAAAGCCUUGACCUGGCCCCGACCCCCUCUGCACCUCACCCAGGACUUUCUGAACUUCCUCAGAGUUUCUCCCUCCGGAAAGGGGGGUGGGGUGGGGACAGGGCGGUGCCUCUGGUCCCCGACAGGGGGCCUGGGUGUCCCUCUGGUCUUCUCCUCGACCCGUGCUUGAAUGGCCUGAACGGCCGCCCUGCACCCGGAGCGGGGCCCAAUCCUUCAUGCACCCCCUUCUCCAGCUGCGACACCCCCUGUCUCUCCGCAGACAAAGACGACAGGCGCCUCUUCACCAGGUGCAUCCAGGUGGAAGGACAGGGCUACGAGUAUGUCAUUUUUUUCCAACCGUCCCAGAAGAAGUCUGUCUGUCUUUUCCAACCAGGUCCCUACCUGGAGGGGAUCCCAGGGGUGGUACACCAUUGUGGGCCGACGUGUACGUGCUCGUGCGCCAUAAAGCACGACAUAGCUGUCAGACACCAUCUGUCCACACCACGUGUUACCCCAGGGCAAGCUCAGACACAGAGGUAAGGUCACUUGCCCGAGGUAGCACAGUCCAUCAGGGUCAAAUGCAGGACUCUAGUCCAGGAGCUGGGACUCCAAGUCCAUUGCUCUCUCCACGGUGCUCUGCUGCCUCCAGACUUGGAAGAGACUCAGGAAAGAACUCGCUCUGGACAUAAACACAUCCACAAGAUCAAUCAGGCUGGCCCUGAGCCUCUUGCCAAAGGCCUAACCACCAAGUCCACGGCCGUCUGCCUUCUCCUCCAUCCCUGUGUCUGCUCUGGACAGUCAUUGAAGGCCAUCGAUGGUGCCAGAGCUCCUGCAAGGGAGAACAAGGAGGGGGAGGAGCGGCUGCAGGGUGCCAAGGUCUGAGAAGGACUCAGGACCAGUUAAGCAGAAUUCAGAGACUUAGCAGGUGUCAGCACCUCUGCAGGCGGCGGAGAGAGACCUCAGCCCUUGGUCACCGUGGCCGUCUCAGAGGCCUCUUCUGUGGGGACGCCGCUUCCCCCACGAGUGCAUGCGGACACUGGGGGCCUAGGUCAGAGCCCAACACAGGCCCGGGAUCGCCUCCCUUUUGAAGAGGAUAAACCCCAAGAAUGCAGGGAUGGGGUGAAGUGUAGCUGGCUCUUGUUUAGGGGCUCGUGGAGAUGGGGCGGGGGAGGCAGAGAAGCACCUUCCAACGCUGAGGCCGGUGGACUGGGGGUGUCCAGAGAAGAGAUUACAGCUGGAUUGUAAACACCCCGUUCAGCCCACCUCCCGGGUAGGGAGGAUCCUAGCUGUUCUCUACUGUGUCUUCCCUGUGUGUCUUCCGCUCUGCUUACGUUAGAACGCUUCGCUUCUGACACUUCCGGUCACCAAACGCGAGGAUUUUCCCCAUGCCACGCAAUUUUCUGCGACAUCGGCUGGGUGUCCUGCAAUUUAACUCAAUUCUAAUACUGUCUACCUGGAGAUAGUGUCACAUCCCACAGAUGAAGGGCUCGGUCCCACAAGACUCCCCCCACUCCAGACGUUGAUCGCGAGUAGUAGGUCCGCAGAUGACUCACAACUUCGGUCCGAUUUGGCUACAAAUCAGAAGUUCCCACAACUUCUUCCUCGGGUUCAAUUAAUUUGCUAGAGUAGCUCACAGAACUCGAGGAAACACGUGUUUAUAUUUACCGGUUUAUUAAAGGCUGUGACAAAGGAUACAGGUGAACGUCUAGGUGAAGACUGAACUUUUCUGUUAACGCUAUCAGAAAAAAAAUUUUUCCCGGUGAAAUAAGUGAAUCGUGGCAAGUGGUAGCUAACACAUGCUGCAGCCACGUGGGAGGAAGCUCGGCCGGUUGUGACAGGUUCGAUCGGACGAGAUCGUGGGGAAGCCUGCAGCCCUGGCCUCGCUCCCCGCCCCAUCCCAGGUUUGCCCACGGAGGGUCCCUGACAGCCUUGGUGGACGAGGCCUUUUCUAAAACUGCCUACCUGGCCGGAGAGGGGCUGUUAACGAUAAGCCUCAACAUCAGGUUCCAAAACUUGAUCCCCCUGGGCUCGCUGGCUGUAAUGAACAUUG